UACGUAGGGAGCAAGCGUUAUCCGGAUUUAUUGGGCGUAAAGCGCGCGUAGGCGGCCUACUAAGCGGAAUCUCUAAUCUGAGGGCUCAACCCCCAGCCGGAUUCGAACUAGCAGGCUCGAGUUUGGUAGAGGAAGAUGGAAUUCCCAGUGUAGCGGUGAAAUGCGCAGAUAUUGGGAAGAACACCGAUGGCGAAGGCAGUCUUCUGGGCCAUAACUGACGCUGAGGUGCGAAAGCUAGGGGAGCAAACAGGAUUAGAUACCCCU
rnacentral:rRNA from 1 species